rnacentral:rRNA from 2 species
UACGUAGGUGGCAAGCGUUGUCCGGAAUUACUGGGUGUAAAGGGAGCGCAGGCGGGGAGCCAAGUCAGCUGUGAAAACUACAGGCUUAACUUGUAGACUGCAGUUGAAACUGGUUUUCUUGAGUGAAGUAGAGGUUGGCGGAAUUCCGAGUGUAGCGGUGAAAUGCGUAGAUAUUCGGAGGAACACCGGUGGCGAAGGCGGCCAACUGGGCUUUAACUGACGCUGAGGCUCGAAAGUGUGGGGAGCAAACAGG